CGCUGUGCAGCGUCACACAUAUUCACGCCUCCGUUUCAGCAGACACACGGUUUCCGCUCACGGAGCUGGCCCGACUAACCUCUCGCGCUUCACAUACCUGCAUCACCAUGGCCAGCGGGGAAACGAACCCCCUCAAUGUGCAGUAUGGUGAGUUCCCUGGCAAUCAGGUCCACGAGGAUUCUCUCGACCUACGCUCCGAGUUUGACAUGGAAGUAGCGCAGGGAUACGACGCGAAAUGCGUGCGGGGGGUGGAGGACGUCUCCUCCGCCGAGGCGCCGGACCCAUACGACUUCUCGCGGUACGACCCGAGGCGCCAGAUCGAGUUGCAGGACAAGAUCCGCGCUGAUCGCGUGGCCCGCCGCCUCGUCCCCGCGAAUGUGUUCCAGAAGUACUUCGACUACUUGGUGCCCUACGGCGGCCUGGUUUCCACGGGCCUCAACCUGGCCAGCUCCUCCAUUGGUGCCGGCAUUAUUGCGCUGCCCUACGCCUUCAACGCCUCUGGUCUUGUUAUGGCCAUCAUCUACAUGUUCAUGAUUGCCUACCUCACCAUCUACUCCUACUACCUGCUGGGCCAGGCGGGCACCAAGACUGGUCUGCGCAACUACGAGCAGAUCGUACGCACGCUCCUCGGCCCUGGCGCGGACUACUUCCUCGCCUUCUGCAUGUGGUUUCUCAGUUUUGGCGGGGAGGUGUCGUACGUCAUCUCCGUGAAGGAUGUGCUGACGGCCUUCCUCGAGGACGCGGACAACACGCCGGCGUUCUUGCUGAACAUCUGGGGCCAGCGCCUCCUCACCUUCCUCGUGUGGCUCGUGGCCAUGCUGCCGCUGUGUCUGCCGAAGGAGAUCAACUCGCUGCGCUACUUCUCCUGCGUCGCGAUUGUGUUCAUAGUGUAUUUUGUGAUUGCGAUGGUAGUGCACAGCGCGCAGAACGGCCUGCGCGCGGAUCCGCGCCCGGAGAUCAGGAUGUUCACGACGGGCAACACCGCCGUUUCUGGGAUGUCCACGUUCAUCUUCGCCUUCCUAUCGCAGCUGAACGCGUAUGAAAGUUAUGAAGAAAUGAACAACCCCACGCCGCUGCGCCUCACGCUGGGUGCCACCAUCUCUGUGGGCAUCGUGUUUGUGUUGUACUUCCUCGCCGGCCUCUUUGGCUACCUUGACUUCGGCACCGAGAUGACCGGCUCCGCGCUGAAGAAGUACAAUCCGGUGAAGGACGUCAUGAUGGGCGUCGGAUACGUGGGUAUCCUGUUCAAGCUGUGCGUUGGGUUCGGUCUGCACAUGAUCCCGGUUCGUGAUGCCAUCUACCACUGCGUCCGCGUGGACGUGCACACGUUUGCGUGGUGGAAGAACGCGUGCGUGUGCGCCUUCAUGGCGCUGCUGUCGCUCGUGGCUGGUCUGUUCAUCCCGAGCAUCAACGUCGUCUUCGGCCUCGUUGGCGGCUUCUCUGGCGGCUUCAUCGGCUUUAUCUACCCCUCCUUCAUGGUCAUGUACUCCGGCAACUGGUCGCUGUCGUCGGUUGGGUGGUUCCACUACCUGUCCACGUACUUUUUGCUGAUUGUCGGCGUCGUUGGCGUCGUGUGGGGCACGGCCAGCUCCAUCUAUGGCGAGAUUUAGUGGCGAUUGGGGUCCGUUCUACUCUGCUCGCCGUGAAUGGAUUGUGUUUCGCGCAGGCACCGUCCCAAAGCCGUCGAAGCCGUCGCUCUGUGACUUGAUGGGGGCCGGGAAGCUGCCUGUGUGUGUGCACCGCUGUUUCUGUCCUUAUUGAUUUUUUCACGGACGGGGUCUCACUGCGCGCUGACAGCGAUGCUUUUUUUUUUCUUCGGUGUGCAGCCGAGAAGGGUCGCGAGACUACCUGGUCCAGUGGAGGUUCCGCGGUGGAAAGGCGUUUUUUAGCUGCAAUUCUUGUGCCUGAAGAAGCCUCGUGAGAUGCUUGUGUGCGCGAAUUUUGCGAGUUUACGUUUUAUAUUGGCAUCACUGAGAUGUGUGAUGAUGCCCUUCUUGGGCGGCUGCUCGUGGGUGUGCCUGUGUGUUUAGAGGCGGACGGAAGGCUGUAUAUAUAUAUAUAUAUAUGUUUUUUGAGUGUAUCGUAGUGUGGCGUUGAGAGACUUCCUUUUUUUUUGGUUGUUUUGGGGCUGUCCUCCUGUGUUUCGCCUCCGGAGAAGGUCUCACUUCCGCGACCUCGGGCGCCACGCCCUCCCCCCUCCACACCACAUUUGCCCAAUCUAAAGACACGAAUGGUGUCACGUAUUUGUUUGGUAUCAUAUCUAAUGCGUGCUCUCUGCGUCGCCGUUUUCCGUUUUUUUUUUCGUCUGGCAGUCGAUCUGCAGCGCCUACCCCCUCCCCCUUCCUCCUUCCCUGAUGCCGCAGCAGCUCCAUGUGCCGGCGUAUGCCGGGCGGCUCGGUUACUCUCUCUCUGCUGAGCAAAUGCUGGUGGUGUGCCUGUCUCCCCCUCUGCCCUCUCUCUUGAUGGCAUAUUUGUCCCCCCUCCACUGCAUAUCUUUUCGGCUCCCUUAGUUUCGCCUGCCUGUUUGGGUGGCCUCCAUAUGGGGGUGCCGGUCCUUCUUCCGCUCCUCUGCUUUGGGUCUUUGCGGCUUCUCUGUGUGCGCGCGCCUCUGACGCACCCCGAGGGGAUGGAGGGGCGCACCGUCGUUCCGCACAACGCGCCCGGUUCUCGCGCUCAGUCGAACUAUGUUAUCCGGCGUCUCCCUUUCUGACCGUCUUCCCAACACCUACCUCUGCUUCACCUCGGCGUCGCACCGAGAUAAUGCAUCGACUCCUUCUCUCUUGUCUCGUCCGCAGCGUGUCCCUGUGGAGCGUGCCACUGCGCCGAUGGACAGUGCGAUGGCGGAGAGAGGUAGAGAGCUCGAUGGCAGCGACCGUGCAGAGAAACAGCACAAACAAGUGGCCACAUGGCGACUUCCACAAAGGUGGCUGGAAUGGAGGGAGAUAGGUGGAUGAGCCGGGCUGGUGUUUCUUUUCUUUGUCUGAGGCACCCUUGGAUCACCACGUGGAGUGGGGGAAGAUGCGAUUUGGCGACCGCAGGAGACGGGCGGAGGACAAGGCGCCGCACAAACAGAGAGAGGACGUGGUGGCAAAUGUCUAAGCACAACUGACGAUGCUUCACGUCUUUCUCGCCUCCUCUCCCGUUUAGCUCGUGUCGCCACGGCAUCCUCUUCACCUGCGUUCUGCCCUGCUUCGCUUUCGAGUCAGAUACGGCACUCUGUUGGUGUUUCUAUCCGGCGCACCACCAACCACGCGGGGCCUCCCUUCCCACUUCUCUUCUUUUUUUUGUGGUUUUAGUUGUUCUGCUCGCCGUUUCUGCAGGGAUUCGUCAGCUCCUCGGAUGUGGGUCUGAGUGUGUCUGUGCGCGCCUUGGAAGUGGCACAGCCACUGCGAUGGGCCGGAGCGGAGUCUGCGAGGUCAGUGGGCGUGCGCGUUGCUCCUCCCACUCCCCUCCCCUCUGGUCUCUCUCGCAAUCUUUGCAGGCGAAGUCAUCCCCGGUGGAGGAGUGGAAGGGCGCUGCCAUGAUCUCAACUACCCACUGGCAACCACUCACCGAGUAGCAUACAGAGGCGAGCGCAGGACACGGAUGAGCAGAUGAUCAGCGACGAAGCUCUCUCCACUAGCCCCCUUUUUUCUCCCUCAUUUAGGUUUUCCCGCUUAUCUCUCUGUUCCUUCCUGCACGUACCGCGGAUCUCCAGUUGACGGCGUUCGUGUGUGAAAGAGUCCGUGUGCGGAGGACUGGCCAUUGGCGGCUCUUCUCCUUCUCCGCUGACUCCUCGAUGAGCAUGCGCGUUUUCGGCUGUGGGUGCGGCACUGAGAUCAGCACCUUUUCCCCGUCACGCAGGGCGGAGUGGGCCCCUUUAUUUCUUCGUGCAAGUGUCGACGAUGAGCUCUAUCAUCGGCAAACGCGGCCUGCAGUAGCCCUACAAAGAUUGGCGUCGGAUGGUGGCGCAUUCGCAUUAGCCCGCCCACCGGGCCGUGACGCCACGGCUGCUGUGAUGUACAGCGUGCGAGGGAGCAAAUAUAUAUAUAUAAUUCGUCAGCCCAUGGCUUGUUCUGAAUCCCUUUCUCUCCUCGCAGGCGUCUCUCGAAGAUCGCUAGUGCCGCGCAGGCGCUCGAAUAAU
rnacentral:misc_RNA from 1 species